UUCUGUUAUUCCCAGCUCUGACCGCUGCUUUAGCAGAAAAUCAGCCCUUUCACGUUUUCAAAUGUUUGUAUUUUUUUUCCUGGACAGGCACAGUGUAUGUUGUCAAGGAUACAAGCACAAUUCCAAGCCAGAAUUAUAGGAGGGAGAGAGAAUCCAACAAAAAUAAGGAUCAGUUAUUAGAGCAGUUAGGGACUCCUCCUAUAAGUUUUAGCUAGAAUUGAAAACAGAGCCCAGGGUCAUCUUGUCCCAUUCAUGGAGGGGAAACAUGGGAGAGUGCCCAAAUUACCCCAACUUCGGCACUGAUAAGUUGCACAGCAAGACAUUUCCUCAGUGAAAAAAAUCAUCUCUAUGAACCUCAGUUUCUUUUUCUAAAAAAUGGGAUCGAGGAUACCUGCAUUAUAUUAUCUGUGAGGUCUGUUUGGGAAGAAAGUGCUCACUAAACUUUAAAGCACUAGAGAAAUGAGAAUGCCUAUUUUUGCCAUCCCUAGACUUAAAGAUGCUGUGUGGAAAGCCUCGUGACAUGUUGUAAUGGAAGUCACCCAUUUCAUAGCAUUUAAUGAGAAUGAGCCAAGGAGAGAAAAGAGAAGGCGACUUUCUUGUGACCUGUCAGAAAAGAGGAGGGAUACUAUAGAUGGCCAGAGAUGUACAAUGCCUUUUCCAAGAUCAUAUAGCUGAUGAGAAUGAGAGCCAUCACUGAGCAGAAUUUGAACACAGAUUCUUUUCACUCUGGAUCUCCUUCUAGGAACUUAAUCAGAGGAUUUUCACAUCAUGUAUUCUUCUAUUGUUAUAAUUAAACAAAUACUCCAGUG